rnacentral:rRNA from 1 species
UACUCGAGUGGCGAACGGGUGAGUAACACGUGGGUGAUCCGCCCUGCACUUCGGGAUAAGCUUGGGAAACUGGGUCUAAUACCGGAUAGGAGCCAUCUUUAGUGUGGUGGUUGGAAAGUUUUUUCGGUGUAGGAUGAGCUCGCGGCCUAUCAGUUUGUUGGUGGGGUAAUGGCCUACCAAGGCGGCGACGGGUAGCCGGCCUGAGAGGGUGUACGGCCACAUUGGGACUGAGAUACGGCCCAG